GACGAACGCUGGCGGCGUGCCUAACACAUGCAAGUCGAGCGAACGGACGAGAAGCUUGCUUCUCUGAUGUUAGCGGCGGAGGGGUGAGUCACACGUGGAUAACCUACCUAUCAGACUGGGAUAAUUUCGGGAAACCGGAGCUAAUACCGGAGAAUAUCUUGAACCGCAGGGUUCAAAAGUGAGAGACGGUCUUGCUGUCACUUAUAGAUGGAUCCGCGCUGCAUUAGCUAGUUGGUAAGGUAACGGCUUACCAAGGCAACGAUGCAUAGCCGACCUGAGAGGGUGGUCGGCCACACGGGAGCUGAGACACGGUCCAGACUCCUGCGGGAGGCAGCAGUACGGAAUCUUACGCAAUGGGCGAGAGCCUGACAGAGCAACGCCGCGUGAGUGAUGAAGGUCCUCGGAUCGUAAAACUCUGUUAUUAGUGGAGAACAUAUGUGUAAGUAACUGUGCAGAUCUUGACGGUACCGGGUCAAAAAGCCCCGGCUAACUACGUG
rnacentral:rRNA from 1 species